AGUGAACGCUGGCGGUAGGCCUAACACAUGCAAGUCGAACGACAGCACAGUAAGAGCUUGCUCUUACGGGUGGCGAGUGGCGGACGGGUGAGGAAUACAUCGGAAUCUACUUUUUCGUGGGGGAUAACGUAGGGAAACUUACGCUAAUACCGCAUACGACCUACGGGUGAAAGCAGGGGAUCUUCGGACCUUGCGCGAUUGAAUGAGCCGAUGUCGGAUUAGCUAGUUGGCGGGGUAAAGGCCCACCAAGGCGGCGAUCCGUAGCUGGUCUGAGAGGAUGAUCAGCCACACUGGAACUGAGACACGGUCCAGACUCCUACGGGAGGCAGCAGUGGGGAAUAUUGGACAAUGGGCGCAAGCCUGAUCCAGCCAUACCGCGUGGGUGAAGAAGGCCUUCGGGUUGUAAAGCCCUUUUGUUGGGAAAGAAAAGCAGCAGGUUAAUACCCCGCUGUUCUGACGGUACCCAAAGAAUAAGCACCGGCUAACUUCGUG
rnacentral:rRNA from 1 species